rnacentral:lncRNA from 1 species
UUCUGAGGAAAACUUUAUGGUAGUAUCGUAUCUACUAUCUCCUAUAUUUGACAUUCUUGUUGAACACAGUAUUUUUGGUGUUUUACCAUUAAAGGGGGAAAAGAAAAAUCAGAUUGAUUUGUUUGAUUAUGUAAAGGACAGACAUUUGUUAGACAGUCGAAUUUAUACUUUAUGAUCUAACGAAGAAAAGAGAUGUUAGUAACAUUUCUUGUUAACCUCAAUAAAAAAGGGAAAAAUAGAAAAGUGCACUGUUGCUUGUGUUUUCCUUCUCAUACGUGAACACUUGUUAGGUCUUGUAGCUUAAUCUAGAUUCCACUUCGAUAAUUUUCCAGAGUAGACAACCUUGGUGGUGGUGUCAACAAUGGCCUUGAUGGCAUCAAGGAUUGUGGUUCCAUUUGUAAAGGAUCGCUCNN